rnacentral:rRNA from 1 species
UACGUAGGGUGCAAGCGUUAAUCGGAAUUACUGGGCGUAAAGCGUGCGCAGGCGGUUAUGCAAGACAGGUGUGAAAUCCCCGGGCCUAACCUGGGAACUGCAUUUGUGACUGCAUGGCUAGAGUUUGUCAGAGGGGGGUGGAAUUCCACGUGUAGCAGUGAAAUGCGUAGAUAUGUGGAGGAACACCGAUGGCGAAGGCAGCCCCCUGGGAUGUGACUGACGCUCAUGUACGAAAGCGUGGGGAGCAAACAGG